AACAGACACAGCAGUAAACCCAAACCAAACCAACAACAAACAAUAGUAAAGUUAUGAAAAUGAAGGUAACAGAUCGUAAGGCUAGAUUUUUCAAUUUUGUUGUCGUUCUUUUC
rnacentral:ribozyme from 1 species